rnacentral:rRNA from 1 species
UACGUAGGGGGCGAGCGUUGUCCGGAUUUAUUGGGCGUAAAGAGCUCGUAGGCGGUUUGGUAAGUUGGAUGUGAAAUCUCCAGGCUCAACUUGGAGAGGUCAUUCGAUACUGCGGGGCUAGAGUGCAGAAGGGGCAACUGGAAUUCUCGGUGUAGCGGUGAAAUGCGUAGAUAUCGAGAGGAACACCUGCGGCGAAGGCGGGUUGCUGGGCUGACACUGACGCUGAGGCGCGAAAGCUAGGGGAGCGAACGGG